GGUAUAGCGCCGGACGAACGGAUAACUCUGAUGACGUUAAUUAAGGAAACACAACUCCCUAUGCCU
rnacentral:tRNA from 1 species